rnacentral:snRNA from 1 species
AUACAUCUCUCAACCUUUUUGCUAAGAUUAAGUGUAGUAUAUGUUCUUAUCAGUUUAAUAUUUGAUACGUGGACCAAUGGAUCACAUGAUAUUGCGGCUCUCCUUUCACCUUAA